GAUGAACGCUGGCGGCAUGCCUAAUACAUGCAAGUCGUGCGGGGGUCUCCGGACCCUAGCGGCGAACGGGUGAGUAACACGUGGGCAACCUGCCCGUAAGACUGGGAUAACUCCGGGAAACCGGUGCUAAUACCAGAUAAUCUCUUUCUCCGCAUGGAGAGAGAGUAAAAGGCUUCGGCCACUUACGGGUGGGCCCGCGGCGCAUUAGCUGGUUGGUGAGGUAACGGCUCACCAAGGCGACGAUGCGUAGCCGACCUGAGAGGGUGACCGGCCACACUGGGACUGAGACACGGCCCAGACUCCUACGGGAGGCAGCAGUAGGGAAUCUUCCGCAAUGGACGCAAGUCUGACGGAGCAACGCCGCGUGAGUGAGGAAGGUCUUCGGAUCGUAAAACUCUGUUGUUAGAGAAGAACACGUACCGUUUGAAUAAGGCGGUACCUUGACGGUACCUAACGAGAAAGCCCCGGCUAACUAC
rnacentral:rRNA from 1 species